rnacentral:rRNA from 1 species
UACGGGGGGGGGCAAGCGUUUGUUCGGAAUUACUGGGCGUAAAGGGCUCGUAGGCGGCCAACUAAGUCAGACGUGAAAUCCCUCGGCUUAACCGGGGAACUGCGUCUGAUACUGGAUGGCUAGAGGUUGGGAGAGGGAUGCGGAAUUCCAGGUGUAGCGGUGAAAUGCGUAGAUAUCUGGAGGAACACCGGUGGCGAAGGCGGCAUCCUGGACCGGCAUUGACGCUGAGGCGCGAAAGCUAGGGGAGCAAACGGG